UAGCCUAGUGGUUAAGGCUACGAAUCGCCAAUCCGGAGACGGCGGGUUCGAUUCCCGC
rfam:Aedes albopictus isolate Foshan contig19265, whole genome shotgun sequence.